AACCAAGCUUUACGAGUCUCGGCAAACCAGAUUGAGAAUGAGUAAAGAAUUUCGGUAUAGAUCCAGGGAUGGUGUGAGUCCAUUGAGAAGUCCACUGCAGCCAAAGAAAGAUCACUACAACAACAGAGCAAACGAGGAGACCACUGAGUCACGAGACAGGAACAGAAGGCCCAUUUGGAAAAAAAUAGAAUUCUCGGAAAAGGUGCAAGAUGGUGAUUUUCCCCCACUACGAAAAGACCUGUGGUA